UGCACAGGAUGAUAUUUCCAAAUAUAAUUGAAAUAAAAUAAAUAUCCCAAAUAAAAAAAAUGUCCACAGCCAAUUUCCCUUUAAAAAUUUUCUUUCCCUCAUUUUCCUCCUUUAAAACU
rnacentral:ribozyme from 13 species